UAGGUGGAGACAGCGCUCUGUGUGUUCAGUUCACAGACCCGCCAGCACCGUCCUGUGGAGAACUGUUGAGCUCUUUCAGUCUUGGUCUGAGUAUAAUAAUUAUCUAACUUAGCCAUGAAAUAUUGAUUAGAAACAGCUAAUGACUACGUAGUUUCAGUCACUCAACAUUUUAAUCUGAUUUAAGGCGCCAUUUAAUAAGGCGCGCGUGAGCCUUAAUUUGCGCGGUUUGUUGUUGGUCUUGCGCGCUUGUGUGUGCUGGACAGAAGAAAAUAUAAUCAUAACAAAGAAUUGUAUAAGACAUUGAUGACUGAUUUGUACCAUGCAUGAAGUUAUCUCUCUCUCUCUCUUUCUCGUUUUCUCCUAUGCUGCGAGGUAAAUGAGAAAGGCACGUUCUGGAUGUUGUAAAGCUAUUUGUUUGCGUUAUGUCAAGCUCUUGCAACGCGCAACCAGUCAGUAAUCCUAUCUGCCCUGCACUUUAAUUAAGGCUCAGCUUCCACAUACAGCAACUGAACUGUGAGCGUUUUGAUUCCUCCUCUCUUCGACACACAUCGUUUAUUUACAUUGGACGUGUUUAUUUAAAUUAUUCACUUCAAACAUAAACAUAACAGGACUUCUCGGACCUUCGUCAAUUGCACGUUGCCUCUUCUGUUAACAGCACGUCUCUAAUAGGAAGGAGAGACUUGGUUUAUUUAUUGAUGCAGACUUAAGCGAACGGCAUAUGAGUGAAUGACAGCUUUUUAACUUCGCUUACUUUCUUAUCAACUGAUUUUUGACAACUGCACUUUUUUGGAAGCUUGAAUUGCAGUGGCUGAAAUCCUACCAAAGGCCUUGGGAAACUUCUCAUCUUUUCUUGGAGUGUUGGUGUGAGGAUUUUGAGCAAACACUCGAGAUUCCUGGAUCGUCCUCUGUUGUUGUGCUCUCUGACACGAGACCUGACCUAACUGGUCCAUCUGCUUUUGGUACUGAUGUCAUCGGUGGUCUCACCUGUCCGACGAGUUAGUUUGAUUCCUGGGCAUGCCAGCAUAAUGAAGGAGUGAUGAGAUCCAAUGGCUUGGGCCACCAGCCCAGCCCAACUCACUUUAAUUCCUGCCCCCAGCUCUUUCCACCUCAUACGCGCAGGUAACCGUGCACGAACGCCAAGAAAUCUGGUUGAAAAAUGAUGGCAGCAGAAAUGACUGUAUAGAUAAACACUCCCUGGCUAAAAGUCCACAUUUCAGACCAUAACUAACCGUCCUGCAUUAGUAAUAUGCAAGCUGAACCACAACUGGACCUCAGAGGUCCAGAACCUAUGCAGCAAACUGAGUAAUUAAAAGGAAACAGUGGCGCCCGUGUACACUGGGGUUACUUCCUUGUCAAUGUUA